CUGAGCAUUGGAAAGGACUAGUACUCGACUCAAGAUGCCGUAUCAGUCUGACAACAAACCCAGUGUGCCGUUCACAUCGUCGUUAAACCAGCAUCAUAAACCCUCCUAAGUACACUCUCCUGCAACUGGAUUAAUUUUUUUGCAUGGAUUUAGAAAAUGGUGCCCCUGCUGAUACGGUACAUAAUACCUUCAUUUCACUUUUUGCCAAGUCAUUAGCUUUAUUUGUGAUGAGGGAGCUGGUUUAUGAAACGAGGUAAACUACAUCUUUAACGGCUUAGAAAAGUAUUAGAAGGACCUCACAGCGAGAAAAGAUGUCAACAGAAAUUCAAGAUGGAGGACAAACAAGUAGCAGUUCACCAGCUGUUAUAGCCUACGACUCCAAGUUUGUGUUGUACAGACACCAAAAGAAGAAGAAGGAGAAUAAUGUGUGAAUAUUGGAGAUCCUGGGAACCUACACGUGUUGAUCUCGGCUCCCACAAUGUGAAAGAGGGAUGGCGAUGGAAAAAUAAGAUGAUGACAUCACGUCCUCAAAACUUUCAGUUAUUGUAUCUCCAGCUGACGGGGAAGGCUGGACUGGACCACAGAGUCCAAACAAUUCCACUUCCCAGAUCCGAACAUUAAAGAGUCCCGUGUAGCUGGAUGAGACUUCACAAAUACUGCCGGUAAAGUUGUUGAUGAGCUGAGCGGUGGAUGUCACUAACCUGCAAGUCUGUCAGGAGAAAUGACGUCGUCUUCCUGACAAUGUUUUCUACCUGUCAGAGGAUUCUGUCAGGUAUGUCUUCUGUCCUCUCCAAGAAAAUGUGGUUUCUUUGUCCAAAAAAGGUGUAAUCAUCAUCAUAGAGAUAUUUCCUGAUUGUGGUCCUCUGGCGUGCAUCAGGAUGGCUGUUGGCGUCUUUGAGGAGAAAGACUGUAACCAGAUGUGUCCAACGUCUCUAGAGUUGCAUUUUCAGUGAGGAUCAAAUACAGUUUGAGAGCGACUGAAUUACAUUUCAUAAAAUAUGAUUCCGUUUCAAGUUUAUUGAAAUUCAGGUCCAGGUUCAGUUAUGCAAUGCAACUAUUCAAGGUAAACAAUACACGUUUUAAAUGAUGCAAUUCAAUCUCAGUUUUCUAAUAUAAUUAUUCAAGAUGAGCAUUUCAAACUCGAUUAUAAGCAAUCCAAAUUCUGUUUCUUCUGACACAUAUUUGCAAUCGGAUUAACAUCUUUUCCACGUAGGGAUCAGUGACAGCACGUGAAACAUCAGUGAGCAAAAGGGAAUUAAGUCAAACAUAACAACAACCUGAUAUUUAUAUCAAAAGCAUCCUGAGAGCUCCUGGCUUAGCCGGUGUAAUCAGGUUAGCGGAACGUCUCCUGUGGGGAAGUAAUCUACUUUGAUGUCCUGUCUGCUACCAAAACAUUGAAUCUGCGUCAGGCUGAGCAGCUACCAACCCGUCCAGCCCGCUCUGUAAUUCAAUUACAUUAGUUGACUCAUGUCCUACUUAACGUCCAGGCAGCCAACGGCCUGAUUACGGAAGCCACAAAUUGUCAAAUACCAAACCUGAAUAAACAUUUAUGUCUCUCAAAACGAGGAGGGUUGUAAUUAUGCUCUGUAAUGUUAUUUCACGGGACAAAUGGAGAAGCAGCGCAGAAACUCACUUCCCAGAUCAUCUACGUAGACAUUCAAACAUCUUUUCCUACUGCAAUUAGACUUUUCAAUGAACUCCUUUGACCCGGACCUUCUCCCUCAGAAUACAGACAUUUAUCAUAAAUAUGUUUGAAUUACACAGGAUCAUGUCUUUUACCACAUUGUAAUACAUGAAGGUGGAACAAUUAAAGCUCACACGCAAGCACUUCAUUCACACACACGUGUGUAUUCAGUGUCGUGUGGGAAUGUGAUUUUAGAUUAUCGGCCUUAUUUGCACUAACUUUCUCUCCAAUCCUUAUAUGCUAAACAAUACUGGAGAAGUUGUAAAACUAAAUAUGAAACUAUGUUAUUUGCUACAAUAUUUUUAAUGUAUAAAAUAAAAAUAAGUAUGUGAAAAUGUUCUUUGUUCUUUGGAAAAUAUGAAAUGUCACUAAUAAAGUAUUUACAUUAUGGAGUUAAACAUACAUUCCAGGGUUUGCAUGACCAGAAGUGUUUUGAGUGUCACAACAGACAGGAUUGUCCAAGUUGUGUUUUUUGACCAAUUUUGUAUUUAUAUCUUCCCAACCUUGGAUUUCUUUGCUUUAAAUAACUGUGUUAUGUAUUUAAAUUGUACUUUACAUGGUGCUAAAAAAUAAUAUUUAAUCACUGCCUUUCAUA